CAUAUUUUAAACACUAAUUAAAAUAACAGUCUUGACAUUUGUAAACUGUAAACAAAAUAUGAAAGUUGAGAUAAAUAGAAAUAGUUAUACCUUAGAUCUAUUCUCUACAUUGUCAUCAAUAAGAAAUUAUUCAUGAGACACUUGCUGUAGCGCAGUGGGUUAAGCGCAGGUGGCGCAAAGCACAAGGACCGGCAUAAGGAUCCCGGUUCGAACCCGGCUCCCCACCUGCAGGGGAGUCGCUUCACAGGCGCUGAAGCAGGUCUGCAGGUGUCUGUCUUUCUCUCCCCUCUCUGUCUUCCCCUCCUCUCUCCAUUUCUCUCUGUCCUAUCCAACAACAACAACAAUAAUAACUACAACAAUAAAACAACAAGGGCAACAAAAGGGAAUAAAUAAAU